AUUUAGAAUAUUUCGCAUUUGGUUUACGCGUACGGAAACCGUUUUCGGAUCGCAGUGAAAUCGCGACCAGCUCGCGCAGGCAUUCUAAUCUGCGGCGAUUUUGCGACCGCGUAGACGUCGAAAGGUCGAUUUUUUUUUCAGCGUCAUUAUAACUGCGCGGUUUUUUUUAAAAAAAUCGUUUAACUCGUUUUCAGACGUUUUAAGCAUAAUGACUGUUCGGGCUCGGUGUCGAGUUGGAUUG